CUAAAUGCAAUUACAAUUUAAAUAUUUUAUUUCAACAUCAAAACAAUUCAGUACAUUUAAAAAAUCACGACGGUCUCAUGAAAAUCAGGACAAACCCUGAUUUAUCAGGACAUCUGGCACCUCUGAUGACAGCUGUCAUGACACGCCAGCAGUUUGGAAAAGAAGAACAGAAGAAAAAGAAAUUUAAAAACCAUUUGCUGGUAAAAUUAUGCACCGCAGCAAUUUCGGGAAGAAUUUGGUGCAUGUUUCGGUUCAACGCACCGGAAAGCAGGCAAAUCGGGUGCCGAACUCAGUGCAGCCCAGCAGUGAGGCUGAAAAAUUCAGUUUUUCAGUGUCGGCGAUGCUGCUUUCUUUUGCAGCUCAAGUACGCCGCCGGAGGGAUUUCCCUCGUGGGUGGCGCUAUGGCACCGCAGAAAUUUCGGACCUUACUUGCCAAUGUCUGUAGACAUAAAUUGUUCACUUCAUUCACCAUGUAACUACGGAAGCUGGGUCAAAGAAUUAAAGAAAAACAAUCCCUUCAUGCCUUAAAAGUAAGUUUAAAUAUAAAAAUAAAUAAAAAUGUAUAGUGAAAA